AACAAACGCUGGCGGCGUGCCUAAUACAUGCAAGUCGAACGGGGAAAGCCUUCGGGUGAGUACUAGUGGCGCACGGGUGAGUAACGCGUGGAUAAUCUGCCCUCGAGUGGGGAAUAACUAGUCGAAAGAUUAGCUAAUACCGCAUAAGACCACAGGAGCUGCGGCUCAAGGGGUCAAAGGUUUUUCGCUCUAAGAUGAGUCCGCGUAAGAUUAGCUAGUUGGUGAGGUAACGGCUCACCAAGGCGACGAUCUUUAACUGGUCUGAGAGGAUGAUCAGCCACACUGGAACUGAGACACGGUCCAGACUCCUACGGGAGGCAGCAGUAGGGAAUAUUGCACAAUGGAGGAAACUCUGAUGCAGCGACGCCGCGUGGGUGAUGAAGGCCUUCGGGUCGUAAAGCUCUGUCGCAGGGGAAUAACACAAUGAAGGUACCCUGUAAGAAAGGAUCGGCUAACUUCGUGCCAGCCGCCGCAGUAACAC
rnacentral:rRNA from 1 species